UACGUAGGGCGCGAGCGUUGUCCGGAAUUAUUGGGCGUAAAGAGCUCGUAGGCGGUCUGUCGCGUCGGAUGUGAAAGCCCGGGGCUUAACCCCGGGUCUGCAUUCGAUACGGGCAGACUAGAGUGUGGUAGGGGAGAUCGGAAUUCCUGGUGUAGCGGUGAAAUGCGCAGAUAUCAGGAGGAACACCGGUGGCGAAGGCGGAUCUCUGGGCCAUUACUGACGCUGAGGAGCGAAAGCGUGGGGAGCGAACAGG
rnacentral:rRNA from 3 species